UACGGAGGGUGCAAGCGUUGUCCGGAUUUAUUGGGUUUAAAGGGUGCGUAGGCGGUUCGUUAAGUCCGGGGUGAAAGCCCACUGCUCAACAGUGGAACUGCCCUGGAAACUGGCGGACUUGAGUACAGACGAGGGCGGCGGAAUGGAUGGUGUAGCGGUGAAAUGCAUAGAUACCAUCCAGAACCCCGAUUGCGAAGGCAGCUAGCUAGACCGACAUUGACGCUGAGGCACGAAAGCGUGGGGAUCAAACAGG
rnacentral:rRNA from 1 species